AACCAUAAAACAACAGUAAAUUUUAUAAAACAAUAAUUUUAAGGCAUUAUUUCUAAGGAUUAUUUUAUUAGGUGUUUUUAAGCUGGAUAUUUUGACUAAACAUGUAUAUUCUCAUGGUUGCUUAUUUUGGAUUUUGGAUUCCUGGAUAAAGGAUGCUUUGCCUGUAUUACGUGAGCAAGGAUUUACAAGGAGCGUGUUUGCAUGAACUGAGCACUACAGCCAGGAACUAUUUUUUUUCCUAUUGUGAUGCGCAAUGGCUGGCGGAAGGAUCCGGCCCAUUCCGAUAUGUUGCGGAAGAGUACUAGUUGUGGAUUUUUCUGCAAAAUUGUGAAGCUGUCCUGGACUGAAUCUCCUUUGGUCACUUUCGGCAGGCCCCGCUUUGAAGAUCUGCGCAGUGAGUUAUUUUGACAAAUGGCACAGCAAUGGCUAUUUGG
rnacentral:lncRNA from 11 species